rnacentral:lncRNA from 1 species
GUGGGUUAAGUAAACUAAUAAUGGUUUUCAUCACUUUUCCAGGGCACAGAUCUUGUGAAUUAAAAUUUAGUUUAUUAAAUAGUUGUUUUCUAUAAUUUUCAAAUUUUUUGCAAUAAAUAAGGAAAUGUUUUUCAUCUUCUAUUUGAUUGCAGUUAGAGCAUAUUCUGUUUUCUCUCUUAAUUUUUGGUCUGAAAUAUCUACCCUUUUCAAUCAAAAGAGGGUGGGAACUAAUUCUUAAUUUUGUAAGAUUUCUUGUUAUAUUAGGAGAACAUUUAUAAGAUAGAUAAUUUUGCAAUUUAAAUUCUUCUGAAUAAAUAUUGGCAUAGAAAUGUAAUUUAUUGUCUUGUUCAAUUGAACGUAAUUUUUCUAGAUUAUGUUAUUAGAAUGUUGGUUAUUAAUAUUUUCCUUUAAGUUCUUUAAAUUGAGAUUAUUGUCUGUUAAAUUAUAUUUUUCAAUAGAGUUAGAGAUAAAUUUGUGCCAAGAUCUGUGUCCAUCAGUAUAUAAUGAAUGAUCUAAUUUAUAUGUUUCACUAAGCAAUCUGUCAGAUGGAAGCUGUUUAAGUCGAUCAUAAUAUUUAAGGGCUAGGGUUAGUAUAUGAUUCAAAGUAGGUUGUCUUCCUAAUUCACACUUUACUGCCAUAUUUGAACUUCUCUUGUGAACUCCUAAAAUAUUUUUACAAAAUUUAUUAUGAAUUUUUUCAAAAGGUAAUUUAUCAAUAUUUGAGUCUUUUAUAUUGUAGUCACUAAUCCAUAUUUCAGAUCCAUAAGUACUUAUGGGUUUUAUAAGAGUAUCAAAAAGUUUUAAUUUUAGUUUAUGAUCUAUAGUAUUGAAUCCAAAUGUCUUAGAAUGCAGAGAAAAAAGUGCCUUUAGGCUUUGUUUGUAUAAGUGUUCUGCAGCAUGUUUAAAAUUUCCAUUAAAGUAAAUGAUAAUACCCAGAUAUUUAUAUUUCUCAACAAUUUCAAUUUCUUUGUUAUUAUAAAAAAAUUUAAAUUUUUUGAAAUCUUUUUUACCUUUACUGAAGAUCAUAAUUUUUGUUUUAUUUAAAUUGACAUUCAGCUUCCAUCUAUCACAGUAUGUUUUUAGAGAAUUUAAACAGGAUUGAAGACCUUCUUUGCUUUCAGAUAGUAACAGUAAAUCGUCAGCAUAUAAUAAGCAAUUCAUUCUAGUGUCUAUAAGCUGCACCGGAAAACAUGAUUCUUGGGGAAAAAUUGAAUCAAUGUCAUUGACAUAUAUAUUAAAUAAGAGGGGCUUAAGCCAUCACCUUGUCGCACACCUUUUCCUAAUUUAGAUGGCUCAGUAAUAGUGUUAUCUUUUUUUACAACAAAUUUUGCAUUAUUAUACAUAUGGUGAAGUAAUUGGAAAAAAUGUCCUUUUACUCCCAGUUUUAAAAGUUUUUCAAAUAAUCCAUCAUGCCAAAUUGAAUCAAAUGCCUUGGAAAAAUCUACAAAACAGGCAUAUAUC